AGCGAACGCUGGCGGCAGGCUUAACACAUGCAAGUCGAACGGGCAUAGCAAUAUGUCAGUGGCAGACGGGUGAGUAACGCGUGGGAACUUACCUUUUGGUUCGGAACAACACAGGGAAACUUGUGCUAAUACCGGAUAAGCCCUUACGGGGAAAGAUUUAUCGCCGAAAGAUCGGCUCGCGUCUGAUUAGAUAGUUGGUAGGGUAAUGGCCUACCAAGGCGACGAUCAGUAGCUGGUCUGAGAGGAUGAUCAGCCACAUUGGGACUGAGACACGGCACAAAAUCCUACGGGAGGCAGGAGUGGGGAAUAUUGGGAAAUGGGCGAAAGCCUGAUCCAGCCAGGACGGGUGAGUGAUGAAGGCACUAGGGUUGUAAAGCUCUUUUGUGCGGGAAGAUAAUGACGGUACCGAAAGAAUAAGCCCCGGCUAACUUCGUG
rnacentral:rRNA from 1 species